GAGUCCACCCGAGAGAGUCCGGCCAGCGCCGCCCCUUCCCGCGGGUGCGGGUGCGGGUGCGGGUGCAGGUGGGCGCCCCACUGGGCAGGUCCGAGCCGACCCGCCUGAAGACGCUGUCUCAGGCCAAAGGAAGCCAGGCUGAAUUCGUGACAGGGAAGAAAGUGCCAGCGGGUGAAAUAAACUAAGUGGUUUGACCCCGCUCGAGAGGGAGGAGGCCGGCGCGGCUUGCAGAGGGGGCUUGAAAAGGCGCCGCCACACUGUGAAUUAAUUACCUGCAAACGGGGGCUUGCACACCAACUGGGGUGCAUCUGCUUUUUACACCCAGUGUUUGUACUCCUACCUGGAGCACGAUUGAUGAUAAGGGGCAAACUAGUUUUGUCAUGAAUAUUACUAAUUAAACUAGGCAAUUCUAAUACAAUUAACAAUUUAAUAAUAGCGUGUUUUUGGGGGGUUUCAAAUCUGCUUGUUGAUGCUGUUGAUAUUUGGGUUCUAUUUGGAAAAUGGAGUGCAGGCUGGAGAAGCGAACUCCAGAAGUCUACUGAUGUGGGCGCUUGUCCAUUUGGAACAGCAGCUAUUUUUAAUGAAAUGAGAAAAUGUUCUGGCUUCAAGACCCAGCUCAAGAUCUGCUGCUUUUGGAAGUGGUCCCGACCGGUGCUGAUCGCAGUGAUCUCUAGUGUUUGAAACAGCAAGGAUUUGUCUGAAUCCUUCUGUUAGCCCUUGGAAAACGCAUUAUAUACCUUCCCUCCUGUGCCCUACACAUUGCUACUCAGGGGAAAGAUUGUCCAUGUCUCCCCCAGCGUUCGUUAAAGCCAAGUCUUCGUAGUGGAGUGAUUUAGCACAGUGCUUCUCAAAGUUUAAGAGGGAUCACCUGGGGAUAUUGUUGAAGCCAAAUUUGAGCGUGUCGAGAGUUAGGCCUGAGAUUCUGCAUUUCUAGCAAACUCCCAGUUAAUGGCAUUGCUGCUAGUUUGAGGACCACACUUUCAGUAGAGAGGUGUUGAUCGCCGCUUUGGCAUUAGCCAGCCUAUUUUGAGUCCUGACUACACCACUUGCAAGCUAUAUGAUCUUAGGCAAGUUUCUCAACAUUUAAGCCUCACAUACUGUAAAAUAGGGAUGAUACUAAUUUCCACCUCAUAGGGUUGUCUUGAAGAUUAAGUGAGAAAGUCCAUAUAAGGCACUUAGUGUAGUGCCUGGCACACAUACCUAGGGUUCAGAAAAUGCUAGCUAAGUCACUGUAGAGGUCAUCCUUGCAGGGGGAAAGCUGGCACCAAGUGCAGCAUGGCUGCAGGGGGAGCAAUGUGUGAAAUGGGCACAAGGGUGAGGUAGCCUGCCCAAGAACAAGGACUGUGCCCUGUAGUGCCUAGCAUGUGCCAGAUGUAUAGGAUAAGUUUGAUGAAUAAAUAAAUGACUCUAAUGUGGAACAGAUCGUAUGUGUUCAAAAAGUUCUGC
rnacentral:lncRNA from 10 species